rnacentral:lncRNA from 1 species
CCUUCACUCCCAAUACAAGCCAUAUUUAAUGACAUUGGAAGCUUUUCUACAUCCCUUUUCAAAACUUCCACCCAUUAGGUCUUUCCCUCCUAUUGUCUGGCCCUUCUAUACAAACCUAAGCGCCUAUCUUUAUCUGAUCUCCUAGGAUCUUUGUUGCACAAGUCCAUACAACCCAAUAGGUUCCCAUCAUUGUUCCAAACUUACAAAGCCCGUACUCCCCAUUUAAUAUUCAUAUACUCAUUCCUGAAUCUACCUGCCUAGAUUACCCAUAUAUUUGCCUUGCCAUUCACAUCAGUCAUUGACACUCCUUAUUGCCCAAUGUUUUGAACCAUACAACAUAUUUAGACCUCAUUGUUCAAUGAAUAUUUCAACCAAGGUUCACCAUCUUGGUGUAGGACCUGUACCUAUACCAUCCUAUUAUAGUGCCGAUAUGUGGUACGGUACAGCAAGAUUCAGUGCACUAAGUACCGGUAUGGUAUAGUAUCAUGUACCAGUUCGGUAUCGGUAUAAUACAGUACCGACUGGUAUGGCAAACCUUGGUUUAAACAAAAGAACCAAAUCAUCAGUUAAUCACAUCCAAAAGCACCUCGCCACUUCACAUCUAACUGAAUAUUAUUCUAUCAUAUAUGUAUUAUGCCAUAAAAAUCU